rnacentral:rRNA from 1 species
GAUGAACGCUGGCGGCGUGCCUAAUACAUGCAAGUCGAGCGAACAGACGAGGAGCUUGCUCCUCUGACGUUAGCGGCGGACGGGUGAGUAACACGUGGAUAACCUACCUAUAAGACUGGGAUAACUUCGGGAAACCGGAGCUAAUACCGGAUAAUAUAUUGAACCGCAUGGUUCAAUAGUGAAAGACGGAUUUGCUGUCACUUAUAGAUGGAUCCGCGCCGCAUUAGCUAGUUGGUAAGGUAACGGCUUACCAAGGCAACGAUGCGUAGCCGACCUGAGAGGGUGAUCGGCCACACUAGAACGGAGACACGGUCAAGACUCCUACGGGAGGCAGCAGUAGGGAAUCUUCCGCAGUGGGCGAAAGCCUGACGGAGCAACGCCGCGUGAGUGAUGAAGGUCUUCGGAUCGUAAAACUCUGUUAUUAGGGAAGAACAAAUGUGUAAGUAACUAUGCACGGCUUGACGGUACCUAAUCAGAAAGCCACGGCUAACUACGUG